rnacentral:rRNA from 1 species
UACGUAGGUGGCGAGCGUUGUCCGGAUUUACUGGGCGUAAAGGGAGCGUAGGCGGACUUUUAAGUGAGAUGUGAAAUACUCGGGCUCAACUUGAGUGCUGCAUUUCAAACUGGAAGUCUAGAGUGCAGGAGAGGAGAAUGGAAUUCCUAGUGUAGCGGUGAAAUGCGUAGAGGUUAGGAAGAACACCAGUGGCGAAGGCGAUUCUCUGGACUGUAACUGACGCUGAGGCUUGAAAGCGUGGGGAGCAAACAGG